rnacentral:rRNA from 1 species
CUACGGGUUGCUGCAGUGGGGAAUAUUGCACAAUGGGGGAAACCCUGAUGCAGCGACGCCGCGUGAAGGAUGAAGGUCUUCGGAUCGUAAACUUCUAUCAGCAGGGAAGAAACAAAUGACGGUACCUGACUAAGAAGCUCCGGCUAACUACGUGCCAGCAGCCGCGGUAAUACGUAGGGAGCGAGCGUUAUCCGGAUUUACUGGGUGUAAAGGGUGCGUAGGCGGCCUGGUAAGUUAGAAGUGAAAUUUUGGGGCUCAACCCCAGAGCUGCUUCUAAAACUGCUGGGCUAGAGUGCAGGAGAGGAAAGCGGAACUCCACGUGUAGCGGUGAAAUGCGUAGAGAUGUGGAGGAACACCAGUAGCGAAGGCGGCUUUCUGGACUGUAACUGACGCUGAGGCACGAAAGCGUGGGGAGCAAACAGGAUUAGAUACCCUGGUAGUC